UAAUUACCAGCUCUGUGAUCCUUGGCAAGUUGCUUAUCAUCACAAGGUCUUGAUUUCCUCACCCUGAAACCUGGGGAUAAUACUCACUAAGUAGGAGAUAACCUGUAUAAACAGGAAGAACUAGAAACAAUGACCAGAAGUUAUAAAUUAUGACUAGAGGCAUGUUCCAGCCAAGAAAGAGAUAUUCCUUUAUGAUCAUUAGAGCAAUUCAACAAAGCCACCAAUUCUCCUCGGAAAGAAAGACUUUGAAUCUUUUUUGGACUAAAGACCGUGACUUCCUUCCCCACCUGCACCAGGACAGUGAAGAGAUGCUUGUCCUGAGGAGGGCUCCCACGAGAGCCAGGGUACUCCCAGUCAAAGUCCAGCCCGUCAAACUCAUACUGGCGCAGGAAUUUGAUGACUGAGGUGAUGAAAGUCUGGCGGUUCUCAGGAGUAGAAACCACGGUAGUGAAACUGAGGGAGACCCAAAGAAGGCAGGGUGAGGCCUUGGUGGUCCCAACACCUUGGAGUAAAAUCAAGCUCUCAAUUUCUGCCUCAGAGCCCUUCAUCAGGACCCAUAGCCCAGAGUAAAGCAUGUUCUUGGUUUUCUCCUCUCCUUCCUUUGUAAUCACUACUCUUCCCAGCCAUGGUACCUUAACAUUCCCUUUAUUUUGUUAUCCCCUCAACUCUGCUCUUUCUCUCAAGUUGCCAUUGUUUCUUUGAAUACCUGGCAAAUCCAGCACACUGUGUUCCUUCCUCAAACAUGUACCCUCCAAGAAGUCCUCUUGUUUAUUUGUGUGAUUUUCUCAUUCCUCCUCCCACCAGAAGAUAA